CAAAACGUAUGGGUGAGCCCAUGUCCGUGUACCAGGCCGUCUACCUUUUGAGCUGAGCCGUGGAACAAUUACGUCGGAGCGAACCUGAGCCGUUCUGGAAGCCUGCCGCCGGCACGGACGGCUGCCCUUCCCCAAGGCUGCGGGAGGCUGCGGUUCCUCCGGCGGCCGGCGAUGCAAGAUGCUGGGCUUGAAUCCUUCUGGAUGCGGUCGACCAGUUUCCGGUGCGAGCGGAGUUCGCGGACAGCCUGGAACAUCCAGAUCCGGUGGCUCUUAAGGUGCUCCCGCGACGUGAUGCCACCCCUGCUACGCCGGCGGAUUCGAAUGCUGGCUCCGGGUGCAGGCAGCACGUUGGUUGCGCUAGCCCUGGGAGGACGCAGGGUGAAAAUCGCUGUCGACGGCCGGGCUCUCCGACGAGGUCUGCGCAGUCCACCCACAGGGUAAAUCCAGAGGCGCCGGGAUGGACCAAAAGGUACAACUUGAAUCCUGUCCUGUCUAACUGUUACUAUUUUUUUAGCAAAUGGUGCGAUUUUCUUGUGCUAUGCUCGCUGAGAUGUUAGUGGUGUGUGUGAUUUGCCGAACAGAAAAGAUGAAAUUGCUAGUUCAUGUGAUGUAUGGUUGAGAUCAGUAGGAAAAGUUAUCCGCGGCAGCACUCGUUUGGGUCUGUUUCCUACCGAUGGUUAGUUACAUAUUUUGUUCUUGUUUGUAAAUUCAGUUUACAUCUUGGGAGUGUGCCACCGGACAGAACGCCGUGUCCAUAUAGAUGAGUGCUUUAGAGCAGUCAAUUCGCAAGUAUGCCCUGCUCCCCGCUCGUCGCAGUCCUGGCAUCCCGCUUGUCCCCACAUGCGUCGUCUUUCUGUCUCCGCCGGUGCCACCACUACUCCUUGCUCGUUGCUGCCAGUCGAGCAAGAUGUCCGGUGCUGCGGUGGACAAGCACAAGACGCCAACGGAGGAAGAGAAUAAGAAUCCGGCGUGGGAGGAUGAGGAGGACAAGGAUCAGGCGAGAAAGGAGGUGGUUAUAGGUCUGAUACUUAGCAUGAUUUAUUUUCAGUAUUCUCUGUAGUUUAUAAGCAGCAAAUGCCACCAGGGAAUGCUCCAUGUUGUAAGAAAUUUGUGAACUCUGAACCUAGUCAAGUGCUUCUACUACAAGCAACUGUUCCACUGAUUUUCUGAAACAGCAACUGUUACAAUGAAGAAAAAGCCAUCACUGGUUUGUCACAGCAGGUGGGUGCAGGAGAUGAUGAUGAUGCGCUGCUAAUAUUGGACUUGCCAGGGGUAAGCUCAUUUUCAUACUCAAGAAACAUGCUUGUGGCCCUAACAAGUAACACUACCUGACAUUUUCUUACUCUUAUGCACAUGGACAGUAUGUAUAAUGCCACCUGAAGCAUUUUGGUACUGCAUGUCAGUAUGUGUAAUGAUUUAUUUUUAGUAUUCUCUUUUCAGCAAAGGGUCAUUUUUGUGGCAGCCCAGAGAUAGGAAAACUGUGUCUAGUCAAGACCUGCUUAGCAACAAAGAGUAAGUGGCAUCUCCAGAGAAUUGAAGUUAAUAGAUACUAAAGUCCCCAUGCUACCUGCUUGUUUUAGUGAAAGGACCAAACCAAAUAUCCUUCAUUUUUAGUACUAGUACAUGCCACUCUUAAUUUUUAUAUAACCAUUAAUCUCAAUUGGUGAAGAUUAUUACUCCAUCUGUUCACUUUUGUAAGUCAUUUUAGGCAGCUGAAAUUAAACUGUUUUAAGUGCUGUCCUAAAUGUCUAGGACGUCUUAUAGAAGUGAACGGAGGGAGUAGUAUCAAUCUAUACACUAGCUUUUUUUCAUCAGUGCUCCCUAGCUGCAUGUCCCAGUUCAGUACACGUGCAUGUCCGCAUGUUUGCUAGCUGCAUGUAUUGUUAUUGGAACAAAUGAUCGGCAUGAAAAAGCUUGAUAUAAGCUACAAAGUAAAUUCCUGAAACUUUGUUCUAAUAUUCAGGACAGGUCUUCAGAGCAGCUGCCAUUGACUUGGAAAAGUUCAGGACUAAAAUUUGAUGUUCAGGAGAAUCAAAUUCAUCGUAAAUAAGGGGCUGCCAUUGACUUGUCCUUCAUCGCAAAGUUCAGGAGAAUCUGAAUGUAUGUUCAGAACUAUGAAAUCUGGUGUUCAAGCACAUGUUCAGGAUGUGAAAUCUGAAACCUGAAUCUGAUGUUUAAGCUAGCAGUGAUGUAUGCUCACUGAAAUUAUGUUAGUUUUAAAACUGCUCGUUGCUGCAUUUGAUAAACUGAAUCUAGCGCUGUAUCAAAUGGACCGAAGAUUUGCUUGUUGCUGCAAGUCUGAAUGUAGUUUUAACAUGAGGUAAUAUCACUGGUGGUCAUACAACUUGCGUUGGAUGUGCAGUUUAGUGCUAGAACUAUCAAAAUACGUUUUUCUGGUCAUACAACUUGCAUUUUGGUGCACAUACGGUCAUUCCCUCCGUAUCCGCCGCUGGCACGUAUGCACGGGGCCACUGUCAGUGAGCGAAAACAUACUGAAGCAACCCGCAUGUGGUAAACUUGCACGGACGCCCCUCAACUUGUUUCUAUGUGCGCAAAACAACCCCAAAAUCGCUGGCCUUUCAGUUUGACUCCCACCGCUUCGUUUCCUGAUCGUACAGAGGCAGAGGCUGAGGGGUCGGCGCGUCACGGCGGCCGUCGUCAGAGGAGAUGAGUGAACCGCGCCGUCGACGUCCGGGCGAAGUAGCGCCAUCGUAUGGUACGCCUGCCCCCUCGCUGGUCUCCGCCAUCUUGUUUUGUUCCUCUGCUCGCCGCUGUCUUCUUUGUGCCGUCGUCUUCCGUUGUGCCAAGUUAGGUUGGUGUCUACGCCCUUAGGGUUCUUGGCAGAUGUUCGAUCGCGCUAGGGUUCAACUCCCCUGUAGCCAUUAGAUUUCCAAGGUGAAACUCCCCUGUUUGCAAAUCGACCUAGGGUUUAGGAAGGGGUUAUGAAAGGACGCAGUUUUUUGUGUGUAAAAGUAUGAUAAAUUCGUUGUUUUCGCUAUGGUUUUAUGAUAUGAUCCUGUUUGGUUGGAUUAUGUAGCUGAAAUUGUGUGAUGUUUCCGAGAUGCAAAUAAUGUUGUUUGUACUCUGAAUUUCUGAAAAAAAAUGUAGUAAACUGAAUUUUUUUCACACUGAAGGCGUGUACUCUGAAUCUGGCACUUAAAUUGCUAUUUCAAGUAUGUGUGUUGUACUUGUAAGGAGAAUUAGGUGAAUAUGUUAACUGAAUAUCAAGUAUGUGUGUUGUACUUGUAAGGAGAAUUAGGUGAAUAUGUUAACUGAAUUUCAGGUGAUUUUGAUGGAGCUGUCAACCAAGAAUCACCUCUCUUCAUGCAGGCUGAAGAGGAGGUAAUUGUGAGCCAAAAUGCACCACAAGAUGCUCUGUUUCGUGAAGGCUGGCCCGAAGACCUGCAUGAUUUCCUUUUGUUGUAGUUUUCAUGACCGUGUGAUCAAGUUCAUGAAUGAACUUUUGUUAGGCAUGAAUGAUCAAGUUCAUCAAUGAUCAAGUUCAUCAAUGAUCAAGUUCAUGAAUGAACUGCUCCUUUUGAUGGGGUUAAGCACUGCUCCUUUUGAUCGCCUUUUUAUGUUAUCAAGACAAGUGAACUUGUAGUUUCGAGCAACAUAUAUUCCUGUUAAUUAUGGAUGAUGUUCUGUCA